rnacentral:rRNA from 1 species
UUUGACCUCAAAUCAGGUAGGACUACCCGCUGAACUUAAGCAUAUCAAUAAGCGGAGGAAAAGAAACUAACAAGGAUUCCCCUAGUAACUGCGAGUGAAGCGGGAAAAGCUCAAAUUUAAAAUCUGGCGGUCCUUGCGGCCGUCCGAGUUGUAAUUUAGAGAAGUGUUAUCCGCGCUGGACCGUGUACAAGUCUCCUG